rnacentral:rRNA from 1 species
GAUGAACGCUGGCGGCGUGCCUAAUACAUGCAAGUCGAGCGAACAGAUGAGGAGCUUGCUCCUCUGACGUUAGCGGCGGACGGGUGAGUAACACGUGGAUAACCUACCUAUAAGACUGGGAUAACUUCGGGAAACCGGAGCUAAUACCGGAUAAUAUAUUGAACCGCAUGGUUCAAUAGUGAAAGACGGUUUUGCUGUCACUUAUAGAUGGAUCCGCGCCGCAUUAGCUAGUUGGUAAGGUAACGGCUUACCAAGGCAACGAUGCGUAGCCGACCUGAGAGGGUGAUCGGCCACACUGGAACUGAGACACGGUCCAGACUCCUACGGGAGGCAGCAGUAGGGAAUCUUCCGCAAUGGGCGAAAGCUUGACGGAGCAACGCCGCGUGAGUGAUGAAGGCCUUCGGAUCGUAAAACUCUGUUAUUAGGGAAGAACAAAUGUGUAAGUAACUAUGCACGUCUUGACGGUACCUAAUCAGAAAGCCACGGCUAACUACGUG